GCCACAUCAUGUUGAAAUACUGGUUCUCGUAAGAUCCCCGAAGUUAAGCAACGUCAAGCCUGGCCAGUACCUAGAGGGGUGACCACUAGGGAAUACCAGGUGUUGUAAG